AUGAAAACCAUCGCUUGGAACUGCCGCAGCUUGCUCUUGGCCACGACAGUUCGUGAGCUCCUGGAGCUACAGGAGCGAGUGAGGGCGGACGUGAUUUUCCUCUCGGAAACUCACAUGAAUAAGGAAAAAGCUGAUGAUGUGCGGCGUAAAUUAGGUUUCGGUGAGAUGUAUGUGCAAGAAAGUGAUGGUGGAUCAAGAGGGUUAGUUCUGUUUUGCAAUUUCAUUAACAAAGUGGUUUUGAAUUACUCCUCGCCCUCUUUUAUUGAUGUUGUUUCUAUGAGGGGGAUGAGGUAG
rnacentral:rRNA from 1 species